CAGUCAGUAGUUGUCUUCCAUAAAAUUACCAGAUUGUCUCCCCUGCCUGGAUCAUAGCUUGGGCUGGAGAAUAAUAGAAUGACUCUCUCAUCCCAUCCUGUCACCUGUUAAUUAUUCUUCUGACGUUGGGAAAACUAUGAUGCCUUUCUCCUGCCAGCUUCUCCACUUGAGAAAUAAGUUCUGAAUAAACAAAAAUUAGAGAUGAAGGCAUUUUCUGAAAGUCAAAUACCAACGAAGCUCAGCAACCCUGUUGAUGGCAGGUUUUCCUGCAUUGAUCAAGGCAACUGAAUGAAGAUGGAUGCACAAGAAUGGCAGUUACACGUAAGAGUCACUGGGUGAUGACUUUAAAGAUCCAGAUUGAAAACCACACAAUCAAAACGAGAGACUCUUGCAUCCAAAUGAUUCCUUAUGCUGCCGGUUUUCUUUGAAGAUAUAAAUUGAAUAUGUCUUUAUGAACUCUUUGCUAUGAAAAAAGGACCCGCUAAGUCAAUACUAUAUCUAC